UGCAAUACUAUUGUAAUAGGUUUUUUUCUCCUUGAAUUGUCUCAUUUGAAGUCAUUUCUAAAAUGAAUGUAUAGUUUAUAUGAACUAUAAACAAGUUGAAAUAGUUUCAUUCACUUUUAAUAACUGACAAA